rnacentral:tRNA from 1 species
UAUCGUCUGGCGGGGCGUGCCGUGCGCCUGCAUGAGCGCAGCCGCUUUGUGCUCGAGGGUGGGCGCUGGUUCUACGUCGAUGGCGACCA